rnacentral:lncRNA from 1 species
GUUUUUUUGGGAGGGUUCUUAUUGCUCUGGAAUUUCCUGGCGCGGCUGGUGUGGCUUCGUGCUUCGAUGCGUCCUGCGGCGUUGGUGCCUGUAUAUGGGUCGGAUUGUUUGCUGUGGUCUCCGGUCGAUUGCGGGGGCUGUCAGUGACUUCCGUUCUUAUCUUGUCCACGAUGGAGGGUUUGUGCCCGUGGUUGGCGGCUGUCCUGGCUGUGGUUUGGGUUUCCUCAUGCGGGGCCCCUCCUGUAUUGCGGUGCGUGUGGGCUCUUUCAGCCAGGGAUCUUGGGGCUGCCCUCUUAUGUACCCAUUUGUCAUUGGACCACCUAGGGAUGAUUAGGGUGGCGCCCGUCGGCUUUCGAUAAACUUUCGUUGGGGGGGAGCAAUCAUUGGCCUCGAU